rnacentral:rRNA from 1 species
GAUGAACGCUGGCGGCGUGCCUAAUACAUGCAAGUCGAACGAACAGACGAGGCGCUUGCUCCUCUCACGUUAGCGGCGGACGGGUGAGUAACACGUGUAUACCCUCCCUAUCAUACUGGGAUAACUUCGGGAAACCGGCGCUAAUACCGGAUAAUCUCUUGAACCGCAUGGUUCAAUGGUAAAAUACGGUUUUGCGGGCUCUUCUAGAUGCAUCCGCGCCGCAUUAGCUAGUUGGUGAGGUCACGGCUUACCAAGGCAACGAUGCGUAGGCGACCUGCGGGGCGGAUCGGCCGCACGGGAACGGGGACACGCUCCAUGGGCCUACGAGACGGAGCAGACGGCAAUCGGCCGCAAUGGGCGAAAGCCUGACGGAAUGGGGCCGCGUGAGUUAUGAAGGUCUUGGGAUCGUAAAGCUCUGUUAUGAGGGAAGAACAAAUUUGUAAGUAAACAUGCACGUAGUGACGGUACCUAAUCAGAAAGCCCCGGCUAACUACGUG